rnacentral:rRNA from 1 species
UACGAACCGGACGAACGUUAUUCGGAAUUACUGGGCUUAAAGGGUGCGUAGGCGGCGCGGUAAGUGAGGUGUGAAAGCCCACGGCUCAACCGUGGAACUGCGCUUCAUACUGCCGUGCUUGAGGGAGACAGAGGUAAGCGGAACUGAUGGUGGAGCGGUGAAAUGCGUUGAUAUCAUCAGGAACACCGGUGGCGAAAGCGGCUUACUGGGUCUCUUCUGACGCUGAGGCACGAAAGCUAGGGUAGCGAACGGG